GCCUGGGUGGCUCAGUGGGUUAAAGCCUCUGACUUUGGCUCAGAUCAUGAUCCCAGGGUCCUGGGAUCGAGCCCCAUGUCAGGCU
rnacentral:tRNA from 1 species